rnacentral:rRNA from 1 species
GAUGAACGCUGGCGGCGUGCCUAAUACAUGCAAGUCGAGCGAACGGACGAGAAGCUUGCUUCUCUGAUGUUAGCGGCGGACGGGUGAGUAACACGUGGAUAACCUACCUAUAAGACUGGGAUAACUUCGGGAAACCGGAGCUAAUACCGGAUAAUAUUUUGAACCGCAUGGUUCAAAAGUGAAAGACGGUCUUGCUGUCACUUAUAGAUGGAUCCGCGCUGCAUUAGCUAGUUGGUAAGGUAACGGCUUACCAAGGCAACGAUGCAUAGCCGACCUGAGAGGGUGAUCGGCCACACUGGAACUGAGACACGGUCCAGACUCCAACGGGAGGCAGCAGUAGGGAAUCUUCCGCAAUGGGCGAAGGCCUGACGGAGCAACGCCGCGUGAGUGAUGAAGGUCUUCGGAUCGUAAAACUCUGUUAUUAGGGAAGAACAUAUGUGUAAGUAACUGUGCACAUCUUGACGGUACCUAAUCAGAAAGCCACGGCUAACUACGUG